rnacentral:rRNA from 1 species
CAAUACAAAAUAUAAGAGGUCUUGCCUGCCCAGUGACUACAAGUUAAACGGCCGCGGUAUUUUGACCGUGCAAAGGUAGCGCAAUCACUUGUCUUUUAAAUGAAGACCUGUAUGAAUGGUGGAACGAGGGCUUAACUGUCUCCCUACUCAAGUCAAUGAAAUUGAUCUCCCCGUGCAGAAGCGGGCAUGAAACUACAAGACGAGAAGACCCUUUGGAGCUUAAGAUGAAAAAUCAACUAUGUCAAGAGCACCUAAACUAAAUAAUUAAUGAUUAACAUCUUCGGUUGGGGCGACCACGGGAGACAACAAAGCUCCCAUGCGGACUGGGAUAAAUCCCAAAACUAAGAGAGACACCUCUAAGUCGCAGAACAUCUGACCACAUAGAUCCGGCGACCGCCGAUCAACGAACCAAGUUACCCUAGGGAUAACAGCGCAAUCCUCUUCCAGAGUCCAUAUCGACAAGAGGGUUUACGACCUCGAUGUUGGAUCAGGACAUCCUAAUGGUGCA